GACGGGGGAUGCAAGCGUUAUCCGGAAUCACUGGGCGUAAAGCGUCUGUAGGUGGUGAUGCAAGUCACUGGUGCAAAACUCUGGCUCAACCGGAGGAAAGCCAGUGAAACUGCAUGACUAGAGUGUGGGAAAGGUAGAAGGAAUUCCCUGAGUAGCGGUGAAAUGCGUAGAUACAGGGAAGAACACCGGAGGCGAAAGCGUUCUACUGGAACACAACUGACCAUGAGAGACGAAAGCUAGGGGAGCGAAUGGG
rnacentral:rRNA from 1 species